rnacentral:rRNA from 1 species
UACGAAGGGGGCUAGCGUUGCUCGGAAUCACUGGGCGUAAAGCGCACGUAGGCGGCUUCUUAAGUCAGGGGUGAAAUCCUGGAGCUCAACUCCAGAACUGCCUUUGAUACUGGGAGGCUCGAGUCCGGGAGAGGUGAGUGGAACUGCGAGUGUAGAGGUGGAAUUCGUAGAUAUUAGGAAGAACACCAGUGGCGAAGGCGGCUCACUGGUCCGGUACUGACGCUGAGGUGCGAAAGCGUGGGGAGCAAACAGG